rnacentral:lncRNA from 1 species
AGCGGAAUUAUUAGCGUGGAAUAACAAACCAAGAUGGUUUUUAAUUCGAACGUGUUCCUUUUAAUUUCGUCUCAAUUUCACUUACUACACAAAUAAUAAAUAUAAAUAAAAGAGUAAGGUUGAGAGAAAUUUGCACAGAUGAUUUUUAUACUGGUUCGGAUCUUAUCAAUCCUACGUCUAGUCGCUUAUCUUAAACCGAGAUAAACAGUCCACUAUCACAAAAUAAUUACAAAUAAUAAUCACAAAGAAAAAUAAUUUGUAAAAGUUUAGAAACCACCUCUCUUGAUACCACAAGAGAUGAACCUGCACCUCCUUUGAAUCUUCACAAAGGAUGAGACACCUCCUCCGAAUACUUCACGAAGGAUGAAACACCUCCUCCGAAUACUUCACGAAGGAUGAUCCUCUUCCAAACACCUCCUCAGACGCACCAAGGAUGAACCAGCUAUUCCUCCGUCACCGUAGUUGCAAUGUACCAGCACCAUGGACAAGAGUUUCCUUAGUUGAGCAAGUGCACACACUUCUCAAAGAGUUCUGAGUGUUUUAGCGCAAGGGAAGAGUUGUUGUUGAUGGAUAAAGAGAGCCUAUAUAUAGACUCAAGCAAAUACUCUUCCAUUCUUUGAAACUGGC